rnacentral:lncRNA from 1 species
CACUAACACGUCCCGCUGCGUCAAGGCACAAGGCUUGGCAACCCAUACAUAGAGUUAGCAUUUUCCGUUAGAUCGAGGCCUAAGACUUUUCAACCCGUACCACGACCUAACGUUGUGUUAGACCGGACUAGUCAAAUAUCAGAGUACUCAUGAAGCGCAUAUAAAACAAUUACUGUUAUUGAUUUAAGAAAUAUUCAUACAUUGAAUAAUUCAAGACUGGGCCCGGCCUAAUGCCAAAUCGAGUCAAUAUAACACAAUUCACAAUACCGUUUACAAAAGGCAUGAAAAUCUACACCGGCGGUCCUAACGUCCAGCACCAUGCUAUCCAUUCAUCCUUACCUAAAGCGACCUGCAAAAAGGACAACGAAGUUGGAUGAGUAAUCUAGUAUUACUCAGUGAGCUGGCGGCCUUUACCCGCAACCUAGACUCUAACCCAGACAACCCAAAAUAACAAUCAAUCUAGCCCUAGCAUGCAAUAUAAGCUAAGGCUAAGCAAACCGUUACUAGGUUAGACUUGGCCUCCUGCCAUAAUCCAACUUCCAAGUAACGGGAACCUGCAUUAAAACAAGUCAACAACCAAUCCCUAGUUAACCAUAUAUACGCUU